rnacentral:rRNA from 1 species
AUGUUGAGUGCCAGGCUGAUGUUUGCUUUGUUGUGGCCAACUGCUACUUCACUUCUGAUGUAUCCCAAGUUUCCCAUGAUAAAUCAAAAUCUUAGUAUUCUAAGCUGGAAUGUCCGAGGCCUAAAUUGUCCUGGCCGUCGAUCAACAAUCCGAGAAACAAUCCUCGCUACUCCAUGUCAUUUGGUCUGUCUGCAGGAGACCAAGGUAGAGCUUGUCGACCCUUUCAUCGCUUCAUACCUGGGAGGUCAAAGAUUAAAGAAUUUUGCCCAGCGCCCUGCUAAUGGUACACGGGGUGGCAUCUUGCUUCUUUGGGAUAACGAUGUUGUGGACGUCAAGGAUGUUUCCAUCGGAGUCUUCUUCCUCUCCUGCAACGUCACGAUCAAAGAAUCCAAUACAAUCUUUAAGCUAACAACGGUCUAUGGACCAACAAGAAGCAACCUGAAGGAUGCUUUCUUCCAGGAGUUGGUCGGCGAAAAACCUCCCCAUGACUCAAAGUGGCUUGUCUCUGGUGACUUUAAUCAGAUAUACCGUGCCAGAGACAAGAAUAGAGCAAACGUCGACCGGAGUAGACUUGUCCGCUUCCGCAAUGCACUGAACACUUGUGAGCUCAAAGAGAUUCAUUUACAAAACAGAAAAUACACUUGGAGUAAUGAACGGAGUGACCCCACCUUAAGCAAGCUCGACUCCUUCUUCUGUAAUGAAGAUUGGGACCUCGAUUUUGGCACUCACCUUCUACACGCGCUCUCGUCUUCUUUGUCCGAUCACUGCCCCCUCCUCCUCGCAAAUGACAACGGCCCGAAGAGAUCAAAGUCCUUCCGCUUUGAAAACUUUUGGAUCAAAAUGCCUGGGUUCAAGGAGGUUGUCCAGGAAGCUUGGAAUAAGGAUAGUAACCACACUGAUCCUUACCACAUCCUUUUUCACAAGCUAAAAGAAACUAGUCAAAAAUUGAGGAGAUGGAGCAAGACGAUCUUUGCGCAUUCUAAGGUGCAAUUCCACAUGGCUCUGGAAGUCAUCCUUCGUCUGGAUGUGGCUCAAGAACUCCGGCCCCUUAGCUCUGACGAGCGAGAUUUACGGAAACGCCUCAAACGGAAGGUGGUGGCCCUGGCCAUUAUGGACCGUGCGCGGAAGCGACAAAGCUCGCGAAUUAUCAACCUCAAAGAUGGAGACGCCAACACUCGUUUUUUCCACCUUCGGGUCAAUCAUAGAAGAAGGAAGAACUUCAUCCACCGCCUCAAGCACAACGGUGGAUGGGUUACUGCCCAUGACCAUAAGAAGUCCAUCAUUCAAGAGCACUUCGCGAAGGUCACAAAACGCGGUCAGCCGCGUCACACCGAUUUCAACUGGGCCAACAUCCCGGCCCCUGAGUGCGACCUCGCGGACCUUGGCGCGGCCUUCACGGAGGAGGAGGUGAAAAAGGCAAUCUUUGAUCUUCCCAGCGACAAAGCGCCUGGACCCGAUGGCUUCUCAGGGGCCUUUUUCAAGGAAUGUUGGGAAAUCAUAAAAGGUGAUAUCAUGCUCAUGGUCAACCACUUCUCCAACCUACGCUCUAAAAAUUUGCACUGGCUCAACUCUGCAAACAUUGCUCUCGUUCCAAAGAAGGAUGGGGCGGAAUCCAUCUCUGACUUUCGCCCCAUUAGCCUCAUCCAUGCUAUCACGAAGAUAAUUGCCAAGAUGAUGGCUACCCGGAUGACUCCACAUAUGCACGACCUUGUCUCAAAUGCCCAGAGUGCUUUCAUAAAAAAGAGAAGCAUCCACGACAACUUCAUGUAUGUCAGAAAUUUGGCGAGAAAAUUGCAUCGAAAAAACAGCCCGACUCUCCUAUUCAAGCUUGAUAUCAAGAAGGCAUUUGACUCUGUGCGUUGGGACUUUCUCAUGGAUCUUCUCCAACAUCUUCGCUUCCCGGUCAGAUUUCGGGAUUGGGUCGCUGCUUUGCUGUCCACGUCCACCUCGAGAGUGUUGAUCAACGGGGUGCUGGGAGACCCUCUGAAGCAUGGAUGCGGCCUUCGGCAGGGUGACCCGCUGUCUCCCCUUCUUUUUGUCCUCGCCAUUGAUCCACUCCAUCAUCUCCUUAGCAAGGCCACUGCCCAAGGGCAUCUUCAUCCCCUGUAUGGUACAACCCCAACCGUUCGAGCUUCGCUUUACGCUGAUGAUGCUGCCAUCUUUGUCAAACCAAUUAAGGAGGAUAUACAAUUCUUGGCUGCCACUCUGGUUUCAUUUGGAGAGGUGACCGGUCUUGUCACCAACUGUGCUAAAAGUCUUGUUGCCCCUAUUCGAUGUGAUGGUGUAAAUCUGGACGACAUUCUCCAUGCUUUUCCGGCAGUCCGUUCGUCAUUUCCGAUGCGUUAUCUUGGCCUUCCUCUGUCUGUUAAGCGUCUCAAGAGACUCCAUUUCCAGCAUCUUGAAGAUAAGAUCGCGGGCAAGCUCCCUUCUUGGCAAGGGAGACAUGUGGCUGCUGCAGGCCGAACGGUUCUUGUCAAGGCUGUUCUAACGGCCAUCGCAAUAUAUCAUCUCACUCCUCUUGACAUACCGGUGGAGGUCCUUCAGAAAAUUGAUAGCAUCCGCCGUGCAUAUCUUUGGGCGGGCACGGACAAGGUUUCUGGAGGGAAAUGCAAGGUAAACUGGGACCUCGCUUGCAAACCAAAGAACAAGGGCGGCUUGGGAGUGCUUAAUCUGAAUAAAUUUGCUAGGGCCCUGAGACUUCGGUGGUUAUGGUUUGAGUGGAAAGAUAAGAGCAAGCCAUGGAUUGGCAUGGGACUGCCGUGCACGGAUGACGACCGUCACUUCUUUGCGGCGGCCACUACAGUCACUGUUGGAAAUGGAAGGACAGCGAUGUUCUGGAACUCAUCUUGGCUAGGAGGAUUGUGUCCCUGUGACAUAGCUCCCGGUCUCUACAACCUCUCUCGCAAGAAAAACUCCUCGGUUCAGCAAGCUAUGGCCAGCAACCAAUGGAUUGCGAAUAUUGACAGCUCCAAUGGCCUCUCCCUUGAACACAUCCAACAGUUUGCUAACCUUUGGGACAAACUAGCAACAGUGGCCCUCGAUGACGACGUUGAAGACUCAAUUAUUUGGAAGUUCACCAAAGAUGGGAUAUAUUCUGCAUCCUCGGCUUACAAGGCUCAAUUUGAAGGCCUCACCACCUCGGACCUUGUCCAUUCGGUGUGGACGGUGUGGGCGCCCCCUCGGUGCAAGUUUUUUGCUUGGCUCGUUCUUCAAGAUAGGAUUUGGACUUCGGACCGCUUGAGCCGCCGUGGUUGGCCUAAUUGCGGUCUAUGCCCUCUUUGCAAGCAAACCCAAGAAACCGCGGCUCAUCUGCUUUUCCAGUGCCGCUACACCAUGCGCAUUUGGAAUGACGUCCUCCCAUGGCUCGGCAUGCAUCACAUCACCACGUCUACCUGGAUGACAAGGGCUUCGGUCAGAGAAUGGUGGAACGCUAACCUGCAGAUCCGUCUCAGCUCGCCCAAGGCGCUCGCCUCCCUCAUGAUGCUCAUCUCUUGGGAGGUUUGGUUGGAGCGCAAUGCUAGAGUCUUCCGCAACUCAGCGGCCCCUUCCAUGACCAUCAUCAGCAAAAUCAAGCAGGAGGUAUCGCUUUGGGCUUUGGCUGGAGCGAAGCAUUUGGGUGGUGUAAUGCCGCGAGAGUAG